GGCAACCCUGAUCCAGCCAUGCCGCGUGAGUGAUGAAGGCCCUAGGGUUGUAAAGCUCUUUUGUGCGGGAAGAUAAUGACGGUACCGCAAGAAUAAGCCCCGGCUAACUUCGUGCCAGCAGCCGCGGUAAUACGAAGGGGGCUAGCGUUGCUCGGAAUCACUGGGCGUAAAGGGUGCGUAG
rnacentral:rRNA from 1 species